rnacentral:rRNA from 1 species
AGGAUUCCCCUAGUAACUGCGAGUGAAGCGGGAAAAGCUCAAAUUUAAAAUCUGGUAGUCUUUGGCUAUCCGAGUUGUAAUCUAGAGAAGUGUUAUCCGCGCUGGACCGUGUACAAGUCUCCUGGAAUGGAGCGUCAUAGAGGGUGAGAAUCCCGUCUUUGACACGGACUACCAGGGCUUUGUGAUGCGCUCUCAAAGAGUCGAGUUGUUUGGGAAUGCAGCUCAAAAUGGGUGGUAAAUUCCAUCUAAAGCUAAAUAUUGGCGAGAGACCGAUAGCGAACAAGUACCGUGAGGGAAAGAUGAAAAGAACUUUGGAAAGAGAGUUAAACAGUACGUGAAAUUGCUGAAAGGGAAACGCUUGAAGUCAGUCGCGUUGUCCAGGGAUCAACCUUGCUUUUGCUUGGUGCACUUUCUGGUUGACGGGUCAGCAUCAAUUUUGAUCAUUGGAAAAAGAUUAGGGGAAUGUGGCAUCUUCGGAUGUGUUAUAGCCCUUGGUUGCAUACAAUGGUUGGGAUUGAGGAACUCAGCACGCCGAAAGGCCGGGUUUUUAACCACGUACGUGCUUAGGAUGCUGGCAUAAUGGCUUUAAUCGACCCGUCUUGAAACACGGACCAAGGAGUCUAACAUGCCUGCGAGUAUUUGGGUGGAAAACCCGAGUGCGCAAUGAAAGUGAAAGUUGAGAUCCUUGUCGUGAGGAGCAUUGACGCCCGGAUCAGACCUUUUGUGACGAUUCCGCGGUAGAGCAUGUAUGUUGGGACCCGAAAGAUGGUGAACUAUGCCUGAAUAGGGUGAAGCCAGAGGAAACUCUGGUGGAGGCUCGUAGCGAUUCUGACGUGCAAAUCGAUCGUCAAAUUUGGGUAUAGGGGCGAAAGACUAAUCGAACCAUCUAGUAGCUGGU